CCUACGGGUGGCUGCAGUGAGGAAUAUUGGUCAAUGGCCGGAAGGCUGAACCAGCCAAGCCGCGUGAAGGACGAAGGUGCCAAGCAUUGUAAACUUCUUUUGUCAAGGGACAAAAUCAGGCUCGAGAGCGUGUUCGAGGGUACUUGAAGAAAAAGCAUCGGCUAACUCCGUCCCAGCAGCCGCGGUAAUACGGAGGAUGCGAGCGUUAUCCGGUUUUAUUGGGUUUAAAGGGUGCGUAGGCGGGCUGUUAAGUCAGCGGUAAAAGCCCGGGGCUCAACCCCGGCGAGCCGUUGAAACUGGCUGUCUUGAGUGGGCGAGAGGUAUGCGGAAUGCGGGGUGUAGCGAUGAAAUGCUUAGAUAUUGCGAAGAACUCCGAUUGCGAAGGCAGCAUACCGGCGGCGAUCUGACGCUGAGGUACGAAAGCGUGGGUAUCGAACAGGAUUAGAUACCCGGGUAGUC
rnacentral:rRNA from 1 species